CCUACGGGAGGCAGCAGUGAGGAAUAUUGGUCAAUGGACGAGAGUCUGAACCAGCCAAGUAGCGUGAAGGAUGACUGCCCUAUGGGUUGUAAACUUCUUUUAUAUGGGAAUAAAACGUUCCACGUGUGUGAUUUUGUAUGUACCAUAUGAAUAAGGAUCGGCUAACUCCGUGCCAGCAGCCGCGGUAAUACGGAGGAUCCGAGCGUUAUCCGGAUUUAUUGGGUUUAAAGGGAGCGUAGGUGGAUUGAUAAGUCAGUUGUGAAAGUUUGCGGCUCAACCGUAAAAUUGCAGUUGAGACUGGCAGUCUUGAGUACAGUAGAGGUGGGCGGAAUGCGUGGUGUAGCGGUGAAAUGCUUAGAUAUCACGAAGAACUCCGAUUGCGAAGGCAGUUCACUGGACUGCAACUGACACUGAGGCUCGAAAGUGUGGGUAUCAAACAGGAUUAGAUACCCGAGUAGUC
rnacentral:rRNA from 1 species